UUUGUAGUUGUCGAAUUUUAAACGAUUGUGGGGUAUGCUUGUCCCAUUGUACGUGUGUUUAUGUUAUUUUUUAUGCAUUCAAUUUGUGGAGGUGUGGUCCUCCUAACAGUUUAUUGUAUGUUUUUGGUAAUACUUUUGUGUGUGUGUUUUUUUUUUUGGCUUUUUGUGUAGUGUUUUUUAAACAAAUUAUUGUACCAUGAAAGUGUAAUCUUGACGUAUGUGUAUGUUGUUGUUGAAUGUGGUCGUGUGUUUUUACAUAUGUGUUAUAUUUUUUGCAAAAUAUAGUGAUUUGUGGUAGCCUGAACUUGCCGGUCACAUGUUAUGAAUUAUAUAUGGUCUACUAAUGUUGGGAACCUUGUG
rnacentral:lncRNA from 1 species